rnacentral:lncRNA from 1 species
UCACCUUGAGUUCUUGUAUGAUCAAGCUCCAGAGAGCAUGAGGAGCACCGCUACUGCAUUUUUCUGGUUGGCAAUCUCAAUGGGGAGUUAUACAAGUACCUUUUUGGUGUCAAUUAUUCACAAGUUCAGUGCAGGCCCUGAUGGAUCAAAUUGGCUUCCGGAUAACAAUUUGAACAGGGGAAAAUUGGAGUACCUUUAUUGGCUGAUAACAUUGCUGCAAGUUGCAAACUUGGUGUACUACUUGGUAUGUGCAAAAUUCUACACUUUCAAGCCAAUUCAGGUGCAUGCCCAGGAGGUUGAUUGCUCAGAAGAAGAUGGGAUCGAGCUGAGGAAUCGUGUUUAGAUACUAUAAUCUGAUUUCAAUACAAUAUUACAUGCCUAUGUCUUUUUAGUUGUUGUAGGCUUAGUAGUAUUUAUGGAGGAGUGCUAUGAAUUCCAU